UUGUGUGAUUUAUUCUAUUUCCCUUAUUAUUGAGGGCUAACUUGAUUCCACUGUGAUCAGAUAGAAUACAUGGGAUAAUGUCAAUACUCUUGUAUUUGAUGAGGCUCUGUUUGUGAACUAUGAUAUGAUCUAUUUUGGAGUAUGUUCCCUGGGCUGCUGAGAAG